UUCCAUAUUCACUAAAAAUGC
rnacentral:piRNA from 1 species